CGUAGGUGGCAAGCGUUGUCCGGAUUUAUUGGGUUUAAAGGGUGCGUAGGCGGCCGCCUAAGUCAGUUGUGAAAUACCCCGGCUCAACCGGGGGGGUGCGAUUGAUACUGGGCGGCUCGAGUAACAGCGAGGUUGGCGGAAUUGACGGUGUAGCGGUGAAAUGCAUAGAUAUCGUCAAGAACACCGAUAGCGAAGGCAGCCAACUAGGGGUUAACUGACGCUGAGGCACGAAAGUGCGGGGAUCAAACAGGAUUAGAUACCCUGGUAGUCCGCACUGUAAACGAUGAUUACUCGAUGUUGGUGAUAGACAGCCAGCGUCCAAGGGAAACCGAUAAGUAAUCCACCUGGGGAGUACGCCGGCAACGGUG
rnacentral:rRNA from 1 species